GAUGAACGCUGGCGGCGUGCCUAAUACAUGCAAGUCGAGCGAAUGGAUUAAGAGCUUGCUCUUAUGAAGUUAGCGGCGGACGGGUGAGUAACACGUGGGUAACCUGCCCAUAAGACUGGGAUAACUCCGGGAAACCGGGGCUAAUACCGGAUAACAUUUUGAACCGCAUGGUUCGAAAUUGAACGACGGCUUAGGCUGUCACUUAUGGAUGGACCCGCGUCGCAUUAGCUAGUUGGUGAGGUAACGGCUCACCAAGGCAACGAUGCGUAGCCGACCUGAGAGGGUGAUCUGCCACACUGGGACUGAGACACGGCCCAGACUCCUACGGGAGGCAGCAGUAGGGAAUCUUCCGCAAUGGACGAAAGUCUGACGGAGCAACGCCGCGUGAGUGAUGAAGGCUUUCGGGUCGUAAAACUCUGUUGUUAGGGAAGAACAAGUGCUAGUUGAAUAAGCUGGCACCUUGACGGUACCUAACCAGAAAGCCACGGCUAACUACGUGCCAGCAGCCGCGGUAA
rnacentral:rRNA from 1 species